UACGUAGGGACCAAGCGUUGUCCGGAAUCAUUGGGCGUAAAGAGCGUGUAGGCGGCUUGUUAAGUCUUGCGUGAAAUCUCGGGGCUCAACCCCGAGCGGUCGUGAGAAACUGGCAGGCUAGAGUGCGGGAGAGGAGAGUGGAAUUCCUGGUGUAGCGGUGAAAUGCGCAGAUAUCAGGAAGAGCACCAAUGGCGAAGGCAGCCCUCUGGGACGGUACUGACGCUGAGACGCGAAAGCGUGGGGAGCGAACAGG
rnacentral:rRNA from 1 species